ensembl:lncRNA
GUGUCAGUGUCACUGUGUCACCAUGUCACUGUGUCCCUGUGUCACGGUGUCACUGUGUCACUGUGUCACUGUGUCACUGUGUCACGGUGUCACUGUGUACCUGUGUCACUGUGUCAGUGUCACUGUGUCCCUGUGUCAUGGUGUCACUGUGUACCUGUGUCAGUGUCACUGUGUCACCAUGUCACUGUGUCCCUGUGUCACGGUGUCACUGUGUCACUGUGUACCUGUGUCAGUGUCACUGUGUCACCAUGUCACUGUGUCACAGUGUCACUGUGAGGUGGCACUGUGGGGUGGCACUGAUGUCACCAUGUCACGGUGUCACUGUGUCACGGUGUCCCUGUGUCACUGUGUCACGGUGUCACUGUGUCACUGUGAGGUGUCACUGUGUCACCAAUGGCACUGUGUCCCUGUGUCACUGUGUCACGGUGUCACGGUGUCACGGUGUCACUGUGUACCUGUGUCAGUGUCACUGUGUCACCAUGUCACUGUGUCACCGUGUCACUGUGUACCUGUGUCACUGUGUCACUGUGUCACUGUGUCACCGUGUCACCGCGUGCCGUGCCCGGGUGUUCCCGCUCUUUGUCGCUGUCACACCCUGAGUGACCCUCGGGUGUCAGGGGUGGGGACACGGACAGGUGACAAUGGACAGGUGACACAGACAGGUGACACACGGACAGGUGACACAGACAGACACAGGGACCGGUGACAAUGGACAGGUGACACAGGUGACACGGACAGACACAUGGACAGGUGACAAUGGAAAGGUGACACAAACAGGUGACAAUGGACAGGUGACACAAGUACAGGUGACACAAACAGGUGACAAUGGACAGGUGACAAUGGACAGGUGACACAGGUACAGGUGACAAUGGACAGGUGA